AUUUCUUGGCGUCUAAGAAUGCUCUGAGAGUUCUUUUGCCACGACUGCACCCUGAGACAAAGUCAGUAUUUGUCACAACGUUCACGUUGAACCUGGCAGGAAGACAGGCUGAGCCACGAAAGAUGGCUGGCUGGACCUGGAUUUGGGCACAAUUGUAACCCUAAGAUGGGUAAUGGGGACUCAAAUUGUUGGUAUGGUUUAGCGAACCUCCCUGGAACACUUGUGCAUUUCUGGCAAGAAUAUCAAAUGAUGUAGCUGCCUUUUGAAAAUGUUUGGCAUCUAAUCAAUUAAACAGAGUUACUACUGUAACUCCACUCCUGGGUAUUUAUCUAAAGAAAUAGCAACCUUGACUCCCCACAAAAAUCUCUACAUGAGUGUUUAUAAAAGAAUUAUAACAGUAGCUCCAAACCGACUUUGAAUAAAUAAUGAAUAAAUAAAGAAGAUGUGGUCUACUUUUACAAUGGACUGUCACUUCAAAACAGGAAUGAAGUGUGGAUUCACAAACUGCCAUCAGAGAGACCUUGGUAGAGAUUGUACUUUGUGAAAGAAGCGGACACAGAAGGUAAGGCACUGUCUAACCCCCCUUAUGGGAAAGCUACAGAAUAGGCAACUCGGCAGAUACAGGAAGCAGGAAGCUGUGCCAGGCCUGGGGGGAAGGUGUGAGAAGGAAGUGAAGUGAGUGUUAAUUGGCUUGCUGCUGCUUUGGAAGUGACCAAGAGGUUCUGGAACAGUGAUGACAUCUAAGCCCUGGAAUGAAUCAAAGCCCACCAGGGUGAAUUUUAUGGCCUGCGAAUUUCAUCUCAAUAAAACAUUUUUGUUUAUU
rnacentral:lncRNA from 1 species